AGGAUUGAGAGGGUCCCUUGGCGUUGCAGUGUAUGCAGAAAACACCCUGCUUUAUUCCCUAAUUCAGCGACGAAGUGAAUAUCCAUCUUCUCUGUUCGCUUCUUCCCUGAUACAAUUCGCCGCCGCCGCUGCCUAGGGCAUAUUCCCCCAUCCACUGUUGCUAGCCCAGAUCCAGCGCAACCUAUAAGGCUCGCGCGCCUGCGGAUUCCUUGGCUCAGAUCCGGUCAGUUUCAUAGGAGUCGAGAUGGACCUUCCCCCGCCGUCGCUGGAGCCAAACGCGUCGCGGGAGCCGGAGAUCCUCGGCAAGGACGAUCAGGAUUGGAUGUCCGCGCUGCGGGAGUCGGUGUCGUUCGGUCGAUUUCUCCAAUUGUAGUGAUGCAUGCAUUAGCGAUUCUGGAGCAGGCGUGAGUUGUAGUCCGUACUUGCCUGCUGCACGUUCCUCAACAAAUAUUGAAGGAGCUGCACUGCAUUUGGCUGGGACAACUGAGUACUAGAAAUGUAUGCAGCUGUAAUAAACUAGCUUACUGACCAUUAAUGUUGAGCUGAGAUUUAACAAAUGUUAUGGGUAAAUACACUAUUAGCACAAAGAGGAAGCAGGGUUCACACCCGACAACAAACGGAAAAAGGGGGAAAAAAUAGGUCAAGAAGCUUGAAAAUAGAUCAGGGGGAUAAGAAGGUGCACCAGUCUCGAAGAAUGCAGGAUAAAACCAUUGCUUAUCUAGGUGGCUCUUUAAGGAGGCAGAUGUUCCAAUCGAUGAUGUGCAUGCUUUCAACAUCCAGGAAACAUGCAAAACGACCAAAUGGCUGGUCUAACGAUUCCGGAGCAGAAACAUCUUCAUGCUUUUGGUGUUCUUGCUGUGUAAUUAGGGGAAUCGUCUGUGUUAGCAGUUGACAAGAGUUGUAAUAUAUGCCUUUUAGAUUUAGGAGUAGCACCCUGUUUAGUUUAGCAAAUCUGAACUGUUACAUAUAUGUGCAAUUUCUUGGCAAGCAAUGCAUUGUGCUUUGUCAAUCUGGUAGAUUGUACCGCUCUGGUUUGCUUCAUUGCACAACAACAUGCUUUUAUAUCUGAAGGUGUUACUAGUAUUGUGGAAUCUUUUAUUCUGCCAUGUUUUGUUGCUUA